CCAAGGAGUCUAACAUGUGCGCGAGUCAUUGGGCUUUGUCGAAACCCAUAGGCGCAGCGAAAGCGAAGGAGCUCCUCGUUGGGCUUCGAGGUGCGAUCCCCGGUUCGUGAAAGCGGCUGGGGCGCAGCAUCGGCCCGCCUCGUUCCGCUUGCGGUGAGGCGGCGCAAGAGCGUACACGUUGGGACCCGAAAGAUGGUGAACUAUGCCUGAGCAGGACGAAGCCAGAGGAAACUCUGGUGGAAGUCCGUAGCGAUUCUGACGUGCAAAUCGAUCGUCAAACUUGGGUAUAGGGGCGAAAGACUAAUCGAACCAUCUA
rnacentral:rRNA from 1 species